AACAUAUAUAUUUUUAUAUUACAUAUCACUUUUACUAUAUUUUUACUGUGCGCUGUAUAGGUGAAUAAUAUUUUACCACUGUAACUAAGUUUCACUGGAUCCAUAAAGGCUUAUCAGUUGCAUUUGUUAUUGUUUGUUGUGGAGUUUAUCUGUAUAGAGUGCUAUCAAAAUAAAAAGCAAACUACCAGUGUAUUACUUUUUGAUUUGUAUUCGCUGGUUAUAUUCAAUUUUCUCAAUGAUGGUAAAUUAUAAGUGUUUAAAGACGUAUUAUUUCGAUUUUUUUCCCCCAAUAUUUAAAAGUGAAUGAGCUGUGUUCUGACCACAGACUGUAUAAAAACAGAUUCUGACCUGAAGCACAAGAAAAGCUAAAAUGUUGGGGUUGAACACAGAGAAAGCAGUAAAACAACUUAUUUCAUUUAAUAUACAUUCAAAUUACAUGUACAUGUCACAGUUAUACUACAUUAACAUUAGAAUUGUAAACCGAAAAAAUCAACGAAAUCAACAAGUGAGAAGUGUGAGCGUUCACAGUUUCUUACGAAAAUUAAUAAUUUUCCAAACCAAACUAAAUAACUGGAGGCAAAGUGAUUUUUAACUGCAUGCAGAUCACAAACCUCUGGAAUCGGUUGAUAAAUGUGAACGUUAUCGUGAUUUUAUCCAGAAAAAAACGCAGCUCCCCCGUUUACUUCCAUUUAUGUUUAAGGCAGUCAUGCCCUCACAAACAUGGCGGACGCGUUGACGUAUCGCAGCAACGGCUCAAAGCGGCCAAUGAGGCGUCUAGGUAUUUAUAUGUCUAUGAUUCUUAUAUACGUUUGCUUAUGUAUUUUGAACGCGCUUCAUUGCUGUCAGGUGAUACACCUUCACUCGCGCAGCGUGGGCGGAGUCUCCUACCUGUGCUCGUGAGUGCUGUCCGCCAGGUUUGGGCAGUUUGGAUGCAAACAAAACAACGGAUUAUUUACCAAGAGAUAUGCAUGUAUGGACUCAUUUCGAUUAAACACUUCUGA
ensembl:lncRNA